rnacentral:rRNA from 1 species
UACAGAGGUCUCAAGCGUUGUUCGGAUUCAUUGGGCGUAAAGGGUGCGUAGGCGGCCAACUAAGUCAUACGUGAAAUCCCUCAGCUUAACUGGGGAACUGCGUGUGAUACUGGAUGGCUUGGAUGUGGGAGAGGGAUGCGGAAUUCCAGGUGUAGCGGUGAAAUGCGUAGAUAUCAGGAAGAACACCCGUGGCGAAGGCGGCUCUCUGGAACGCAACUGACGCUGAGACGCGAAAGCGUGGGGAGCAAACAGG